UGCUCAGAUUGAACCCGGCGGCAUGCUUACACCUGCAAGUCGAACGGCAGCACGGGUGCUUGCACUGGUGGCGAGUGGCGAACGGGUGAGUAAUACAUCGGAACAUGUCCUGUAGUGGGGGAUAGCCCGGCGAAAGCCGGAUUAAUACCGCAUACGAUCUAUGGAUGAAAGCGGGGGACUUCGGGCCUCGCGCUAUAGGGUUGGCCGAUGGCUGAUAGCUAGUUGGUGGGGUAAAGGCCUACCAAGGCGACGAUCAGUAGCUGGUCUGAGAGGACGACCAGCCACACUGGGACUGAGACACGGCCCAGACUCCUACGGGAGGCAGCAGUGGGGAAUUUUGGACAAUGGGCGAAAGCCUGAUCCAGCAAUGCCGCGUGUGUGAAGAAGGCCUUCGGGUUGUAAAGCACUUUUGUCCGGAAAGAAAUCCUUGGCUCUAAUACAGUCGGGGGAUGACGGUACCGGAAGAAUAAGCACCGGCUAACUACGUGCCAGCAGCCGCGGUAAUACGUAGGGUGCAAGCGUUAAUCGGAAUUACUGGGCGUAAAGCGUGCGCAGGCGGUUUGCUAAGACCGAUGUGAAAUCCCCGGGCUCAACCUGGGAACUGCAUUGGUGACUGGCAGGCUAGAGUAUGGCAGAGGGGGGUAGAAUUCCACGUGUAGCAGUGAAAUGCGUAGAGAUGUGGAGGAAUACCGAUGGCGAAGGCAGCCCCCUGGGCCAAUACUGACGCUCAUGCACGAAAGCGUGGGGAGCAAACAGGAUUAGAUACCCUGGUAGUCCACGCCCUAAACGAUGUCAACUAGUUGUUGGGGAUUCAUUUCCUUAGUAACGUAGCUAACGCGUGAAGUUGACCGCCUGGGGAGUACGGUCGCAAGAUUAAAACUCAAAGGAAUUGACGGGGACCCGCACAAGCGGUGGAUGAUGUGGAUUAAUUCGAUGCAACGCGAAAAACCUUACCUACCCUUGACAUGGUCGGAAUCCUGAAGAGAUUCGGGAGUGCUCGAAAGAGAACCGGCG
rnacentral:rRNA from 1 species